GGCCCAGUGGUCUAGUGGCUAUGAUUGUCGCUUGUAAUGUGACAGGUCCCGGGUUCAAAUCCCGGCUGGGCCC